rnacentral:piRNA from 1 species
UAGCAGUACGCAAAGAUUUCCUGAACGG